rnacentral:rRNA from 1 species
GAUCAUGGCUCAGGAUGAACGCUAGCUACAGGCUUAACACAUGCAAGUCGAGGGGAAACGACAUCGAAAGCUUGCUUUUGAUGGGCGUCGACCGGCGCACGGGUGAGUAACGCGUAUGCAACUUGCCUAUCAGAGGAGAAUAGCUCAUCGAAAGAUGAAUUAAUGCUCCAUGAAACAGGGGUCCCGCAUGGGAAUAUUUGUUAAAGAUUCAUCGCUG